UAGCACAUGCUUAACAAAUGCUCACUUUAUUAGUUGAAGUUAGAGCUUUUGUCUUGUGGUUUCAGUGAAAUGUUCAGCUUUUGCACGUUUGGGCUUAAGACAACUUCAUUCCUGUUAAGUUUGGUGAAAUAUCACUGGCCAUGCCUACUUGAGUUUUUUGGCCACAUCUGGAGAUAGUAGUAACUCUGAACAGCUGAACCAGUCAUUUAAUCAAACCUAGCAUGUGGGCCAUUCUACAUGCCUCACCAAGAUCAUUCUUCCAUGGACUCAGGCUCAGAUUACUCCAUUUCAUAGGGGCUUGUGUUCAGAUUGAAACCUGGAGUUCUAGGGCCUGCCUGCCAAAGGCUGCAAACCUUCCUAUUCUUCUUUUGAGUCAGGGCAUCUGAUACAGUGCAGCUGUGAUCCCAGGCAGCUGCUUUGGUGGUGCCUUCGGUCAGAUGCUGCCUUAUUACAGAAGAAUUGUUCUCCAGCCUCGUGGGCAUGAGUCUGUGUGCAAACCGUGGUCCUGAGUGCUUGAAUGGAGCCUGGAGAGCCUCUGGGUGGAAUGAAUAAAAAAGUAAAUUUAGAGUAGUGGCCUGUGAAAGAUCCGUUGGCAUCUACGAGUUGGUACCAUGGGAGUGGAGCAAAGGAGAGUGGGCAUUAAUAGAUGUGAUGACCCUGGGCUCUUGAAGACUAACAGGAGUGUAAGCUGGAAUAUGGCUCUGAUGACCUGUGUUCUACUAACAACUGAAAAGGAAUGAGAGACAAGAUGGAGAAGCACUUGAAGUGGCAAAAUUAAGUUAAAGGUAUCUCAGAAAUCUCACUCUUGAGUAAACCAGUAGCCUAAGGUUCUCAAGGAGCAGGGACUACAGUGAUAGGAUGGUGGCCUACAGAGGAGACGCCAACAGCCACCCAGUGGAAUGGCUGCUUGUUACUGAGGCAUCUGAAACACAGGACUCUAACUGGAAAGAACUCUGACUUACCGGGAGAAUGAAAAGCAGCAACAUGCAGCUGGAAGUCAUGAUUAUUUACCUUUCUGUUUUUUUGGAUCUCCUGCUUACCCUUUGGGCUGUAUGAGCGUAUAGAAUCUACGGAAUAACACCAGGACAAAAUAAUCAACAAAUCUUUAUCACAGCAAAAAAGAUGGUCAGGAUGGAGAUGCUGUGAUCCAUAUAUAAACGAGUCCUUUGGCAGUUGAGCGAACUAUCAAUUAUGACGGAGAGAAGUGGAAUUAAAAGCCUCUUGCAAAUUACUAAGAACUACCUUCUUCCUCCUCACUUAAACUUAUGACCUAGUGGACCGGCUACUAAGGAGAUAUAAAAUGGUAAAAAGGUAUUACUUGAUGGUCAUAGAUUUUUAAGCCAGAAGGGACUAUAUCUAUCCAAUUUCCCCAUUUAACAGAUAAGUAAACUGAAGCCCAGAGAAGUAAGAUGACUUACCUAAGGUUACAAUAGGUAGUUAGGACAGAGGCUGAAUUUGAAUCCCAGGUCCUCUGACCCUUGAGACUGUGCUUUCUUUACAAUAUACCAUAAUGCCUUUCCAGCAAGAGGAAGAGGAGAAGCAUGCAACAUGAGAAAUACCAUACUUUACCCUCGAUAAUUAAGGACUUUUUUUCCCUCUUAGGACAGUUUUUGUAGCUCUGAAUUCAAACCAAGGUCUAAUAAGAAACAAGGGAUGAAAGACUAUCUCCUGAGGCAGAAAAACUCCAGAUGUGGGAGUAUAGUAAGUAAGAUAAUAAUAGAAUAGCACAAAUAUAUUUCACAACAUCCAACAGAUCAAAAUCAGACUCAGAUUGUGAAUCUUCAUUUCAUAUCCCUCGUUUCUCUCUCUCUCUCUCUUUUUAAAAGUAUAUAAUA